CUCUGUGACUCCUACGGGGAGGCAGCAGUGGGGAAUAUUGCACAAUGGGGGAAACCCUGAUGCAGCCAUGCCGCGUGUGUGAAGAAGGCCUUCGGGUUGUAAAGCACUUUCAGUAGGGAGGAAGGUAGUGUAGUUAACACCUGCACUAUUUGACGUUACCUACAGAAGAAGCACCGGCUAACUCCGUGCCAGCAGCCGCGGUAAUACGGAGGGUGCGAGCGUUAAUCGGAAUUACUGGGCGUAAAGCGCAUGCAGGCGGCCUGUUAAGUCAGAUGUGAAAGACCCGGGGCUUAACCUCGGAAUUGCAUUUGAAACUGGCAGGCUAGAGUCUUGUAGAGGGGGGUAGGAAUUUCAGGUGUAGCGGUGAAAUGCGUAGAGAUCUGAAGGAAUACCAGUGGCGAAGGCGGCCCCCUCGGACAAAGACUGACGCUCAGAUGCGAAAGCGUGGGGAGCAAACAGGAUUAGAUACCCUGGUAG
rnacentral:rRNA from 1 species